UCCAGGUGGGACAGGAACCUGUCCAAGACCAAGAGAGAGGAGCAUGGAAAAUCCCUUUUUGAUUCCUUCUGUGCUUGUUUCUCCUUCUGGCGUCUUCUCUGUCUACCUCUUCUUCUCUGGAGAGCCUGUGAGGGCCCUGGCUGUCACCAAGGAGCAGGGGGAUUGGCACAGGGCAGGAAUUGGUCACUCCUUGCUCCAAAAAAAUCUGCAACUGUCCUGCCUGGACCUCAGCCUCGGGAAAAGCUGGGACCUGGCAAUCCUUUUCCACAUUUUAGCAGGACCAGCCACCCUUGGGAGUCAAGAUUUUUGCACCUGAGGCUCAAAACGUGAGAGAAGAUCCAUCCCUCUCCUGCAGCUGUGGGCAGGAGCACGCUGAGCUCCUGAUGUUUGGAUUGUGGAAAAAAAUCAUUAGGUGGAGAAAGAGAUGGAAGGACUUGUGGUCUCAGGCAGAAAACAGCAGGAAAAACUGGCUGAAAAGCAUCAAAAAUGUGCACCUUGGACUUGGCCCAACCCUGUGGUGGUCACUGAGCUGAUCCCAGCGCUGG